GUCCAUGUAGUAUACUUAUUAUUCUGGUCUUGUAAACCAGAGAUGGGAAUAAACUCUCCCCAUAGACU
rnacentral:tRNA from 1 species